UAAUAAAUGGAGUCGGAACCUGGCAGUGUGGUGACCAAGUCCUCUUUUCGUUAUCCCAAGUAAGUCUUAAGUCAUUUGGUCCAAGUCUCAAGAUAUUUUUUGGGGACAAGUCUCAGGUUAUGUCAAGUCAAUUUGAGUAUUUAGUUAAGGCAAAUAAAGUCCCAA